UACGGGGGGGCAAGCGUUGUUCGGAAUUACUGGGCGUAAAGGGCUCGUAGGCGGCCAACUCAGUCAGACGUGAAAUCCCCAGGCUCAACCUGGGAACUGCGUCUGAUACUGGAUGGCUUGAAUCCGGGAGAGGGAUGCAGAAUUCCAGGUGUAGCGGUGAAAUGCGUAGAUAUCUGGAGGAAUACCGGUGGCGAAGGCGGCAUCCUGGACCGGCAUUGACGCUGAGGAGCGAAAGCCAGGGGAGCAAACGGG
rnacentral:rRNA from 1 species